rnacentral:rRNA from 1 species
UACGGAGGGGGCUAGCGUUAUUCGGAAUUAUUGGGCGUAAAGGGCGUGUAGGCGGUUUCGUGUGUCCCAUGUGAAAGCCCUCGGCUUAACCGGGGAACUGCAUGGGAAACUGCGGAGCUUGAGUCCGGGAGAGGAGAGUGGAAUUCCCAGUGUAGCGGUGAAAUGCGUAGAUAUCGGAAGGAACACCUGUGGCGAAAGCGGCUCACUGGACCAUAACUGACGCUGAGGCGCGAAAGCUAGGGGAGCAAACAGG